UAUAUGGCUAAAAGUGUUUGCAAGACACUCCGCCAUGCCACUGGGAUCACUAACUGUUGACCCGUGCCCCAUCAGGACGUCAUUGUCUCCAGUCGUGUGGUCCAGUGAGUCACCGCUCUACCGCACGACAGUGACCCCAAGGAAGUCCCGGUCCACAGCAUGGAUGUGGCCACCCCUGGCCACAGCCCCAAGUGUUCCCUGGUGGGCCAUACUCACUGAGCUCCUCCUCCUCCUCCUCACCCGGCUGCCGUGGAAGGUGAGGGAGAGAGAGAGGGACUUU